GACAGUUUUAGGUGUCCCUGUGAUUUCAUCUCCAGCCAAUCGUUUCAGUUCUCCAGCCCCCUUCCUGCCAAAGUACCUAGGCUACUGAAAUAAAACUGGCGUCUGGGAAACCCGGAGGCCAGAGCAACUGGUCAGGCCCAGAUUUCCCAUUCUGGACACUUCAUUUGGCUGGAGUCAUGUGAUGUAUGGUCUUUUGUGACUAGCUUCUUUCACUUAGAGGAUCCUUGAUGCUGUGGCGUAUAUCAGUACUG
rnacentral:lncRNA from 1 species